rnacentral:rRNA from 1 species
UACGGGGGGGCAAGCGUUGUUCGGAAUUACUGGGCGUAAAGGGCUCGUAGGCGGCCAACUAAGUCAGACGUGAAAUCCCUCGGCUUAGCCGGGGAACUGCGUCUGAUACUGGAUGGCUUGAGUUUGGGAGAGGGAUGCGGAAUUCCAGGUGUAGCGGUGAAAUGCGUAGAUAUCUGGAGGAACACCGGUGGCGAAGGCGGCAUCCUGGACCAACACUGACGCUGAGUGAGCGAAAGCCAGGGGAGCAAACGGG